ACACUUUUUCAACCUACCCUAAAGACGAGGAUAACCAUUGGAAACAGUGGCUAAGACUGGAUAGGAAGAAAUAAGGCAUCUUAUUUCUUUUAAAAGACCUAGUAAUAGGUAUACUUUAGGAGGGGCUUGCGCCAUAUUAGUUAGUUGGUAGGGUAAUGGCCUACCAAGACGAUGAUGUGUAGCUGGACUGAGAGGUUGAACAGCCACAUUGGGACUGAGACACGGCCCAAACUCCUACGGGAGGCAGCAGUAAGGAAUUUUCGGCAAUGGAGGAAACUCUGACCGAGCAACGCCGCGUGAACGACGAAGUACUUUGGUAUGUAAAGUUCUUUUAUCAAGGAAGAAAAGCAAGUGGCGAACCAUUUGUUUGCCGGUACUUGAUGAAUAAGCCCCGGCUAAUUAUGUGCCAGCAGCCGCGGUAAGACAUAAGGGGCAAGUGUUAUCCGGAAUUAUUGGGCGUAAAGGGUGCGUAGGCGGUCUAGUAAGUCAGUGGUGUAAUGGCAACGCUCAACGUUGUCCGGCUAUUGAAACUGCUAAACUUGAGUUAGAUAGAGGCGAGUGGAAUUCCAUGUGUAGCGGUAAAAUGCGUAAAUAUAUGGAGGAACACCAGAGGCGUAGGCGGCUCGCUGGGUCUUAACUGACGCUGAGGCACGAAAGCGUGGGGAGCAAACAGGAUUAGAUACCCUGGUAGUCCACGCCGUAAACGAUGAGUACUAAGUGUCGGGUUAAACCGGUACUGAAGUUAACACAUUAAGUACUCCGCCUGAGUAGUACGUACGCAAGUAUGAAACUUAAAGGAAUUGACGGGACUCCGCACAAGCGGUGGAUCAUGUUGUUUAAUUCGAAGAUACCCGAAAAACCUUACCAGGUCUUGACAUGUUUUUGCGAAACGGUAGUAAUAUCGUAGAGGUUAUCAGAAACACAGGUGGUGCAUGGUUGUCGUCAGCUCGUGUCGUGAGAUGUUAGGUUAAGUCCUAAAACGAGCGAAACCCUUAUCGUUAGUUGCCAGCACGUUAUGGUGGGGACUUUAACGAGACUGCCAGUGAUAAACUGGAGGAAGGUGAGGAUCACGUCAAAUCAGCAUGCCCCUUAUGACCUGGGCUACAAACGUGAUACAAUGGCUGUUACAAAGGGUAGCUGAAACGUAAGUUCUUGGCCAAUCCCCAAAAACAGUCUCAGUCCGGAUUGAAGUCUGCAACUCGACUUCAUGAAGUUGGAAUCGCUAGUAAUCGCGAAUCAGCAUGUCGCGGUGAAUACGUUCUCG
rnacentral:rRNA from 1 species